UACGUAGGAUCCAAGCGUUAUCCGGAUUUAUUGGGUUUAAAGGGUGCGUAGGUGGUUUUUUAAGUCAGGGGUGAAAGGCGGCAGCUUAACUGUCGCAGUGCCUUUGAUACUGAAGAACUUGAAUAAACUAGAGGUAGGCGGAAUGUGACAAGUAGCGGUGAAAUGCAUAGAUAUGUCACAGAACACCAAUUGCGAAGGCAGCUUACUAUGGUUUUAUUGGCGCUGAGGCACGAAAGCGUGGGGAUCAAACAGG
rnacentral:rRNA from 1 species